GCUGGGGUAGCUCAGUUGGUAGAGCAUGAGACAAAAGACAGGGCAUACAAAGAGAAAGGGCUGGGCGGGGAGGAGGAGAAAAGCAAGCUCAAGUCAACCAGUAGAGCAUGAGACUCUCAGUCUCAGCAUUGUGGGUUCGAGUCCCACGCUGGGCA